AUGGGUUAAUUUUCUAGCACGGUCAAGGUGCAGAUUAUUGGUUCCCGAGUAUUAUUUGGAUACAAUGUUUUGAAGUGGGUGUGAUUGAGAGGUUGUCUCUGGGUUCUUCCUUUCCUCUGUCUCUUUCUUCGAAUGUAUAAGACAGAGGUAGGUACACGUCCUGCAGACACACACUAGCGAGUUAGCUAGCCUACAUGUGAGCUUGUUUUGUGCAUAUUAAUUUAAGUGGCUUGCCUGAUUUGUGUUAACAGGAGCUGAGCGACUGGCUAGCUUCUGUUUGACUGAUUUUCUUUUCUUUAUUUGCAUGUAUCAGGUGGGUCACGUUUUACACUUCUGUAUUGUAUGCACGUGUUUGUGCGAGCUCUUUCUUCGAAUGUAUAAGACAGAGGAGCUGAGCGACUGGCUAGCUUCUGUUUGACUGAUUUUCUUUUCUUUAUUUGCAUGUAUCAGAGAGCAAUAAAACGUGCGAAUACCA